UGGUUUUCAUUUCUCUGAACCAGAAG
rnacentral:piRNA from 1 species